CCUACGGGAGGCAGCAGUAGGGAAUCUUUCACAAUGGGCGAAAGCCUGAUGGAGCAACGCCGCGUGCAGGAUGAAGGCCUUCGGGUUGUAAACUGCUUUUAUAAGCGAGAAAUAUGAUGGUAACUUAUGAAUAAGGAUCGGCUAACUACGUGCCAGCAGCCGCGGUCAUACGUAGGAUCCGAGCAUUAUCCGGAGUGACUGGGUGUAAAGAGUUGCGUAGGUGGCAUAAUAAGUAGCUAGUGAAAUCUGGUGGCUCAACCAUUCAGACUAUUAGCUAAACUGUUAAGCUCGAGACCGUUAGGGGUAACUGGAAUUUCUAGUGUAGGAGUGAAAUCCGUAGAGAUUAGAAGGAACACCAAUAGCGUAGGCAGGUUGCUGGGACGGUUCUGACACUAAGGCACGAAAGCGUAGGGAGCAAACGGGAUUAGAUACCCGAGUAGUC
rnacentral:rRNA from 1 species